rnacentral:rRNA from 1 species
GACGAACGCUGGCGGCGUGCUUAACACAUGCAAGUCGAACGGAAAGGCCCUGCUUUUGUGGGGUGCUCGAGUGGCGAACGGGUGAGUAACACGUGAGUAACCUGCCCUUGACUUUGGGAUAACUUCAGGAAACUGGGGCUAAUACCGGAUAGGAGCUCCUGCUGCAUGGUGGGGGUUGGAAAGUUUCGGCGGUUGGGGAUGGACUCGCGGCUUAUCAGCUUGUUGGUGGGGUAGUGGCUUACCAAGGCUUUGCCGGGUAGCCGGCCUGAGAGGGUGACCGGCCACAUGGGGACUGAGAUACGGCCCAGACUCCUACGGGAGGCAGCAGUGGGGAAUAUUGCACAUUGGGCGGAAGCCUGAUGCAGCAACGCCGCGUGCGGGAUGACGGCCUUCGGGUUGUAAACCGCUUUCGCCUGUGACGAAGCGUGAGUGACGGGAAUGGGUAAAGAAGCACCGGCUAACUACGU